rnacentral:rRNA from 1 species
AUUGAACGCUGGCGGCAUGCCUUACACAUGCAAGUCGAACGGUAACGCGGGGGCAACCCUGGCGACGAGUGGCGAACGGGUGAGUAGCGCAUCGGAACGUGCCCAGUAGUGGGGGAUAGCUCGGCGAAAGCCGGAUUAAUACCGCAUACGACCCACGGGUGAAAGCGGGGGACCGCAAGGCCUCGCGCGAUUGGAGCGGCCGAUGCCUGAUUAGCUAGUUGGUGAGGUAAAGGCUCACCAAGGCGACGAUCGGUAGCUGGUCUGAGAGGACGACCAGCCACACUGGGACUGAGACACGGCCCAGACUCCUACGGGAGGCAGCAGUGGGGAAUUCUGGACAAUGGGGGAAACCCUGAUCCAGCCAUGCCGCGUGCGGGAAGAAGGCCUUCGGGUUGUAAACCGCUUUUGGCAGGAACGAAACGGCGCGUGCGAAUAACGCGCGCUAAUGACGGUACCUGCAGAAUAAGCACCGGCUAACUACGUGCCAGCCGCCGCGGUAAGAC